UUCCGAAGUUGAACCUCCUUAUGAUAUUCAGAGGAAGGGCAAUAUACCAUUCUGUUAAAACUGGGCGGCAUAAAAACAAUGAAAGAAGAACUAGGCAGCAUUUUAGCGAAGAGGAGAAGACUUAGAAAGAAGAAUCGAAGGUAAAAAAAAAUUCGCCAGUAUUUCACUGCUAUUUGGACGCUGAAGAAGAAUAAGAAGAAGAAGAAGAAGGAGGAGGAAGAAAUCAUCACAUACCUGUUGCCACUGAAUCUCUGUUGAAGUUGAAAAGGGAACGCUAGUCGCUGUUGCUGCUGGUCGUGUUUUAAUAAAAGUGCAAAGAUCCCUUCUUUUUUAAUUAAAUAGGCUGGCAGCUUCACUCGCUUCGCUGCUACACCAACAGAUUCAACGACCUCUAUAUUCUUUCUCUGGUAGCUAAUUUGCGAGCAGCACCC
rnacentral:lncRNA from 1 species